UUUCGCAAUGCCCGAAAGGGUGACGAAGCGACGCCGCGUGGGUGAGGAAGGCCCUCGGGUUGUAAAGCCCUGUCAGGAGUUAAGAAAUGUAGGUGUGCUAAUAUCACAUCUAUUUGACGAAGGCUCCAAAGGAAGUCACGGCUAACUCUGUGCCAGCAGCCGCGGUAAUACAGAGGUGGCAAGCGUUGUUCGGAAUUAUUGGGCGUAAAGAGCACGUAGGUGGGUUUGUAAGUCAGAUGUGAAAGCCUCCUGUUCAACGGGAGAAUUGCAUCUGAAACUACUGAUCUUGAGUGUAGGAGGGGAGAAUGGAACUUCUGGUGGAGCGGUGAAAUGCGUAGAUAUCAGAAGGAACGCCGGCGGCGAAAGCGAUUCUCUGGCCUAUUACUGACACUCAGUGUGCGAAAGCUAGGGGAGCAAACGGGAUUAGAUACCCCGGUAGUCCUAGCCGUAAACGAUGGGCACUAAGUAGAGGGGUUUUA
rnacentral:rRNA from 1 species